rnacentral:rRNA from 1 species
GUCUACAGCCAUGCCACCCUAAACAAGCCCAAUCCUGUCUGAUCUCGGAAGCUAAGCAGGGUCGGGCCUGGUUACUACUUGUAUGGGAGACCACCUAGGAAGACCAGGUGCUGCAGGCA